AUGGAUAUGGAACACAAAAUACCAAAAAAAUUAGGUGUACUUGCUACUCAUGAGGAUGGGGUAACUCCUAAAACCCUCGAUUCUCAUCAUGAGAAAAAUAUUUUGUACUACUUUGAUAAUCCUGAGAAAACCCCAUUCAACUUUAUAAUGGGAGUAACGUUGGAUCAACGUGAAUACUUUAGGGAUUAUCGCUCGACACAAAAAGGGAAACUAUUAUGGGAUCAAAUUAAUAUGUUGAAGUGGUAUGAUAGAAAACUAUGCUCGGAAUAUGAUUAUACUUGUUGCUCUAGGAUGAAUACUCCACACCUCCCUUUUUCAUGCAAAUUUAAUGAUAAUGAAACCUUGGCUUCUUAUGCUAGAGGUAUAUAUGAUUACUAUGAUGUGGAACAAAUAGAAGAAUUUGUUGCUUUUAUGGGUGCUUAUGAAAUUGAAUCCAUGUUUAAAGAGUUUGAGGAUUUUGAUGAUGCUUGUUAUAGAUCUGAAAAUUUAGCUAUCCUUAAAUAUUGUUAUGAGAAUUAUGAAUAUAAUGCCUAUAUUAAUGCACUUAUUAAGAAAGUCUCCGCUGUCCAAGAAGAGACUAAUAUUUUGCAGGAAUCUAUGGAAGAAGAAAUUGAUGAAACUAUGAGCUCAUUGGAUGAAAAAUAUGAGGAGGAAAGCGAAGAACAAAAGGAGGAAGAGCGGAUUGAUCACCCGUGCCCACCUUCUAAUGAGAGUAACUCUUCAACUCAUACAUUGUUUAAUUCACCUUCGUGCUUACCGAAGGAUGAUUGGUAUGAUCCCGUUGAUUCUCUUGAAAUAUCCUUUUUUGAUGAUGCUUGCUAUGCUUGUGGCCAAGAUGCCAAUAUGAAUUAUGCUUAUGGAGAUGAACUUGCUAUAGUUCCUUAUGUUAAAGAUGAAAUUGUUGCUAUUGCACCCAUGCAUGAUAGUCCUAUUAUCUUUUUGAAUUCUCCCAACUACACUAUAUUGGAGAAAUUUGUGCUUAUUAAGGAUCAUAUUGAUGGGUUGCCUUUUACCAUUGCACAUGAUGAUUUUGAUGAAUAUAAUAUGCAUGUGCUUUUUGCUCCUACUUGCAAUUAUUAUGAGAGAGGAACUAUACCUCCACCUCUCUAUGUUUCUCAUACGAUAGAAUUGCAAGAAAUUGCUUAUACUAUGCAUUGGCCUUUACUUGGUGUGCAUGAAUUGUUCUUUUAUGACAUGCCAAUGCAUAGGAAGAGAGUUAGACUUUGUUGUUGCAUGAUAUAUGUUACUUUGUGCUCACUACUAAAUGACAAAUCAUUGUUAAUUAAAAUUGACUUUGAUAUACCUUGGGAUCCAGGUGGAUUCAUUACUUGA
rnacentral:rRNA from 1 species